AGCUCCAAUAGCGUAUAUUAAAGUUGUUGCAGUUAAAACGCUCGUAGUCGAAUUUUGGGUGAGAGCGGUUGGUCAGUCUCAUGACUGUACUGAUUGCUCGAUCCUUUUUCCUGGGAUACUAGCUAUCGCUAGAACUCCAGGUUUUUACUUUGAAGAAAUUAGAGUGUUUAAGGCAGGCAUUUGCUUGAAUACAUUAGCAUGGAAUAAUAGAAUAAGACUUUGGUUUUAUUUUGUUGGUUUUAAGAACCAAAGUAAUGAUAAAUAGGGACAGUUGGGGGCAUUAGUAUUUACGAGUCAGAGGUGAAAUUCUUGGAUUUCGUAAAGACUAACUACUGCGAAAGCAUUUGCCAAGGAUGUUUUCAUUG
rnacentral:rRNA from 1 species